GUAUCCUACGGGGAGGCAGCAGUGGGGAAUAUUGCACAAUGGGGGAAACCCUGAUGCAGCCAUGCCGCGUGUGUGAAGAAGGCCUUCGGGUUGUAAAGCACUUUCAGUAGGGAGGAAGGUAGUGUAGUUAACACCUGCAUUAUUUGACGUUACCUACAGAAGAAGCACCGGCUAACUCCGUGCCAGCAGCCGCGGUAAUACGGAGGGUGCGAGCGUUAAUCGGAAUUACUGGGCGUAAAGCGCAUGCAGGCGGCCUGUUAAGUCAGAUGUGAAAGCCCGGGGCUUAACCUCGGAAUUGCAUUUGAAACUGGCAGGCUAGAGUCUUGUAGAGGGGGGUAGGAAUUUCAGGUGUAGCGGUGAAAUGCGUAGAGAUCUGAAGGAAUACCAGUGGCGAAGGCGGCCCCCUGGACAAAGACUGACGCUCAGAUGCGAAAGCGUGGGGAGCAAACAGGAUUAGAUACCCUGGUAG
rnacentral:rRNA from 1 species